AACGAACGCUGGCGGCAUGCCUAACACAUGCAAGUCGAACGAAGGCUUCGGCCUUAGUGGCGCACGGGUGCGUAACGCGUGGGAAUCUGCCCUUUGGUUCGGAAUAACAGCUGGAAACGGCUGCUAAUACCGGAUGAUGACGAAAGUCCAAAGAUUUAUCGCCAGAGGAUGAGCCCGCGUUGGAUUAGGUAGUUGGUGGGGUAAAGGCCUACCAAGCCGACGAUCCAUAGCUGGUCUGAGAGGAUGAGCAGCCACACUGGGACUGAGACACGGCCCAGACUCCUACGGGAGGCAGCAGUGGGGAAUAUUGGACAAUGGGCGCAAGCCUGAUCCAGCAAUGCCGCGUGAGUGAUGAAGGCCCUAGGGUUGUAAAGCUCUUUUACCCGGGAAGAUAAUGACUGUACCGGGAGAAUAAGCCCCGGCUAACUCCGUG
rnacentral:rRNA from 1 species